UGACUGACUUGGCGAGGGCCGAUACAAA
rnacentral:sRNA from 1 species